rnacentral:rRNA from 1 species
GGAUGCGAUCAUACCAGCACUAAAGCACCGGAUCCCAUCAGAACUCCGAAGUUAAGUGUGCUUGGGCGAGAGUAGUACUAGGAUGGGUGACCUCCUGGGAAGUCCUCGUGUUGCAUUCU